rnacentral:tRNA from 1 species
GGCGCCGUGGCUUAAGUUGGUUAAAGCGCCUGUCUAGUAAACAGGAGAUCACGAGUUCGAAUCUCGUCGGUGCCU